GGGAGCGGAUCGGGGCUGGUGUCCUGCCUGGUCUUCAAAACCAGUGGGGGUCGCGCUCGACGCGGCCCCGGUGGGUUCGAUUCCCAUGCGCUCCCGCCA
rnacentral:tRNA from 2 species